rnacentral:rRNA from 1 species
AACGGCGACCCCAGGUCAGGCGG